GGUUAAGCGACUAAGCGUACACGGUGGAUGCCCUGGCAGUCAGAGGCGAUGAAGGGCGUGCUAAUCUGCGAUAAGCGCCGGUAAGGUGAUAUGAACCGUUAUAACCGGCGAUACCCGAAUGGGGAAACCCAGUGUGAUUCGUCACACUAUCAUUAACUGAAUCCAUAGGUUAAUGAGGCGAACCGGGGGAACUGAAACAUCUAAGUACCCCGAGGAAAAGAAAUCAACCGAGAUUCCCCCAGUAGCGGCGAGCGAACGGGGAGGAGCCCAGAGCCUGAAUCAGCAUGUGUGUUAGUGGAAGCGUCUGGAAAGGCGCGCGAUACAGGGUGACAGCCCCGUACACAAAAGCGCAUGUGCUGUGAGCUCGAUGAGUAGGGCGGGACACGUGGUAUCCUGUCUGAAUAUGGGGGGACCAUCCUCCAAGGCUAAAUACUCCUGACUGACCGAUAGUGAACCAGUACCGUGAGGGAAAGGCGAAAAGAACCCCGGCGAGGGGAGUGAAAAAGAACCUGAAACCGUGUACGUACAAGCAGUGGGAGCCCCACCACUAAGCCAGUGGUGAACUCCACAUACGCAUCCUUUGCUGAGGAUACGGUUAACGGAGCGAAAGCGACGUUCAACCGCAAAACAAGCAGAGGGGGCUUAGUGGUGGGGUGACUGCGUACCUUUUGUAUAAUGGGUCAGCGACUUAUAUUCUGUAGCAAGGUUAACCGAAUAGGGGAGCCGUAGGGAAACCGAGUCUUAACCGGGCGUUAAGUUGCAGGGUAUAGACCCGAAACCCGGUGAUCUAGCCAUGGGCAGGUUGAAGGUUGGGUAACACUAACUGGAGGACCGAACCGACUAAUGUUGAAAAAUUAGCGGAUGACCUGUGGCUGGGGGUGAAAGGCCAAUCAAACCGGGAGAUAGCUGGUUCUCCCCGAAAGCUAUUUAGGUAGCGCCUCGUGAAUUCAUCUCCGGGGGUAGAGCACUGUUUCGGCUAGGGGGCCAUCCCGGCUUACCAACCCGAUGCAAACUGCGAAUACCGGAGAAUGUUAUCACGGGAGACACACGGCGGGUGCUAACGUCCGUCGUGAAGAGGGAAACAACCCAGACCGCCAGCUAAGGUCCCAAAGUCAUGGUUAAGUGGGAAACGAUGUGGGAAGGCCCAGACAGCCAGGAUGUUGGCUUAGAAGCAGCCAUCAUUUAAAGAAAGCGUAAUAGCUCACUGGUCGAGUCGGCCUGCGCGGAAGAUGUAACGGGGCUAAACCAUGCACCGAAGCUGCGGCAGCGAACGUAUCACUUAAAGCGAUUCAGCGGGUUACGAUUGACGGAGCGAAGCGACGUCAAAGCGUAUACAAAGUCGAGUCGGUUUAAGGAUACGUUCGUUGGGUAGGGGAGCGUUCUGUAAGCCUGCGAAGGUGGCCUGUGAGGGUUGCUGGAGGUAUCAGAAGUGCGAAUGCUGACAUAAGUAACGAUAAAGCGGGUGAAAAGCCCGCUCGCCGGAAGACCAAGGGUUCCUGUCCAACGUUAAUCGGGGCAGGGUGAGUCGACCCCUAAGGCGAGGCCGAAAGGCGUAGUCGAUGGGAAACGGGUUAAUAUUCCCGUACUUGGUGUUACUGCGAAGGGGGGACGGAGAAGGCUAUGUUGGCCGGGCGACGGUUGUCCCGGUUUAAGCGUGUAGGUGUGUGUUCCAGGUAAAUCCGGUUCACUUUAACACUGAGGCGUGAUGACGAGGCACUACGGUGCUGAAGCAACAAAUGCCCUGCUUCCAGGAAAAGCCUCUAAGCAUCAGGUAACAUCAAAUCGUACCCCAAACCGACACAGGUGGUCAGGUAGAGAAUACCAAGGCGCUUGAGAGAACUCGGGUGAAGGAACUAGGCAAAAUGGUGCCGUAACUUCGGGAGAAGGCACGCUGACACGUAGGUGAAGUGAUUUACUCAUGGAGCUGAAGUCAGUCGAAGAUACCAGCUGGCUGCAACUGUUUAUUAAAAACACAGCACUGUGCAAACACGAAAGUGGACGUAUACGGUGUGACGCCUGCCCGGUGCCGGAAGGUUAAUUGAUGGGGUCAGCGCAAGCGAAGCUCCUGAUCGAAGCCCCGGUAAACGGCGGCCGUAACUAUAACGGUCCUAAGGUAGCGAAAUUCCUUGUCGGGUAAGUUCCGACCUGCACGAAUGGCGUAAUGAUGGCCAGGCUGUCUCCACCCGAGACUCAGUGAAAUUGAACUCGCUGUGAAGAUGCAGUGUACCCGCGGCAAGACGGAAAGACCCCGUGAACCUUUACUAUAGCUUGACACUGAACAUUGAGCCUUGAUGUGUAGGAUAGGUGGGAGGCUUUGAAGUGUGGACGCCAGUCUGCAUGGAGCCGACCUUGAAAUACCACCCUUUAAUGUUUGAUGUUCUAACGUGGACCCGUAAUCCGGGUUGCGGACAGUGUCUGGUGGGUAGUUUGACUGGGGCGGUCUCCUCCUAAAGAGUAACGGAGGAGCACGAAGGUUGGCUAAUCCUGGUCGGACAUCAGGAGGUUAGUGCAAUGGCAUAAGCCAGCUUGACUGCGAGCGUGACGGCGCGAGCAGGUGCGAAAGCAGGUCAUAGUGAUCCGGUGGUUCUGAAUGGAAGGGCCAUCGCUCAACGGAUAAAAGGUACUCCGGGGAUAACAGGCUGAUACCGCCCAAGAGUUCAUAUCGACGGCGGUGUUUGGCACCUCGAUGUCGGCUCAUCACAUCCUGGGGCUGAAGUAGGUCCCAAGGGUAUGGCUGUUCGCCAUUUAAAGUGGUACGCGAGCUGGGUUUAGAACGUCGUGAGACAGUUCGGUCCCUAUCUGCCGUGGGCGCUGGAGAACUGAGGGGGGCUGCUCCUAGUACGAGAGGACCGGAGUGGACGCAUCACUGGUGUUCGGGUUGUCAUGCCAAUGGCACUGCCCGGUAGCUAAAUGCGGAAGAGAUAAGUGCUGAAAGCAUCUAAGCACGAAACUUGCCCCGAGAUGAGUUCUCCCUGAGACUUAGAGUCUCCUGAAGGAACGUUGAAGACGACGACGUUGAUAGGCCGGGUGUGUAAGCGCAGCGAUGCGUUGAGCUAACCGGUACUAAUGAACCGUGAGGCUUAACCUU
rnacentral:rRNA from 2 species